UGUGCUAAUACCGCAUAAUCUCUGAGGAGAAAAGCAGGGGAUCGCAAGACCUUGCGCUUUUGGAGCGGCCGAUGCCUGAUUAGCUUGUUGGUGAGGUAAAAGCUCACCAAGGCUUCGAUCAGUAGCUGGUCUGAGAGGACGACCAGCCACACUGGGACUGAGACACGGCCCAGACUCCUACGGGAGGCAGCAGUGGGGAAUUUUGGACAAUGGGGGCAACCCUGAUCCAGCCAUGCCGCGUGAGUGAAGAAGGCCUUCGGGUUGUAAAGCUCUUUCAGCCGGAACGAAACGGUCACGGUUAAUACCCGUGACUACUGACGGUACCGGAAGAAGAAGCAUCGGCUAACUACGUGCCAGCAGCCGCGGUAAUACGUAGGGUGCGAGCGUUAAUCGGAAUUACUGGGCGUAAAGCGUGCGCAGGUGGUUUUGUAAGUCAGAUGUGAAAUCCCCGGGCUUAACCUGGGAACUGCGUUUGAAACUGCAAGGCUAGAGUGUGGCAGAGGGGGGUGGAAUUCCGCGUGUAGCAGUGAAAUGCGUAGAGAUGUGGAGGAACACCGAUGGCGAAGGCAGCCCCCUGGGUCAACACUGACGCUCAGGCACGAAAGCAUGGGGAGCAAACAGGAUUAGAUACCCUGGUAGUCCAUGCCCUAAACGAUGUCAACUAGUUGUCGGGUCUUAACGGGCUUGGUAACGUAGCUAACGCGUGAAGUUGACCGCCUGGGGAGUACGAUCGCAAGAUUAAAACUCAAAGGAAUUGACGGGGACCCGCACAAGCGGUGGAUUAUGUGGAUUAAUUCGAUGCAACGCGAAAAACCUUACCUACCCUUGACAUGUAUUGAAACCCGCAGAGAUGUGGGUGUGCCCGAAAGGGAACGAUAACACAGGUGCUGCAUGGCUGUCGUCAGCUCGUGUCGUGAGAUGUUGGGUUAAGUCCCGCAACGAGCGCAACCCUUGUCAUUAAUUGCCAUCAUUUAGUUGGGUACUUUAAUGAGACUGCCGGUGACAAACCGGAGGAAGGUGGGGAUGACGUCAAGUCCUCAUGGCCCUUAUGGGUAGGGCUUCACACGUAA
rnacentral:rRNA from 1 species